AUACGUAGGUCCCGAACGUUGCGCGAAAUUACUGGGCGUAAAGGGUCCGUAGGCGGUCUGGUAAGUGGAAGGUGAAAGCCUGGGGCUCAACUCCAGAAUUGCCUUCCAAACUGCCGGACUUGAGGCAGCGAGAGGUCGGCGGAAUUCCCGGUGUAGUGGUGAAAUGCGUAGAUAUCGGGAGGAACACCGGUGGCGAAGGCGGCCGACUGGAACUGUCCUGACGCUGAGGGACGAAAGCCAGGGGAGCGAACCGAAUUAGAAACCCUAGUAGUCC
rnacentral:rRNA from 1 species